rnacentral:rRNA from 1 species
AGAGUUUGAUCAUGGCUCAGAACGAACGCUGGCGGAAUGCUUUACACAUGCAAGUCGAACGAGUACUUUUUACGAGUGGCGAACGGGUGAGUAACGCGUGGGAACCUACCUUGAGGUAAAGAAUAACUACAGGAAACUGUAGCUAAUACUUUAUAUGCCCUACGGGGGAAAGAUUUAUCGCCUUUUGAGGGGCCCGCGUCAGAUUAGCUUGUUGGUAAGGUAACGGCUUACCAAGGCAUUGAUCUGUAGCUGGUUUGAGAGGAUGAUCAGCCACAUUGGGACUGAGACACGGCCCAGACUCCUACGGGAGGCAGCAGUGGGGAAUCUUGGACAAUGGGGGAAACCCUGAUCCAGCAAUUCCGCGUGAACGAUGAAGGCCUUAGGGUUGUAAAGUUCUUUUAGUAAGGAAGAUGAUGACGGUACUUACAGAAAAAGCUCCGGCUAACUCCGUGCCAGCAGCCGCGGUAAUACGGAGGGGGCAAGCGUUGUUCGGAAUUACUGGGCGUAAAGAGCGAGCAGGUGGUUCAUUAAGUCAAUUGUGAAAGCUCAAGGCUUAACCUUGAAAUUGCUUUUGAUACUGAUGAACUAGAGUUUGGGAGAGGAUAGUGGAAUUCUAAGUGUAGAAGUGAAAUUCGUAGAUAUUUAGAGGAACACCGAUAGCGAAGGCAACUAUCUGGCCCUUUACUGACACUCAGAAGCGAAAGCUUGGGUAGCAAACAGGAUUAGAUACCCUGGUAGUCCAUGCUGUAAACGAUGAGUGCUAGAUGUUAGAAGUUUACUUCUAGUAUCGAAGCUAACGCGUUAAGCACUCCGCCUGGGGAGUACGGCCGCAAGGCUAAAAC